rnacentral:rRNA from 1 species
UACGUAGGGCGCAAGCGUUAUCCGGAAUUAUUGGGCGUAAAGAGCUCGUAGGCGGUUUGUCGCGUCUGCCGUGAAAGUCCGGGGCUCAACUCCGGAUCUGCGGUGGGUACGGGCAGACUAGAGUGCAGUAGGGGGAGACUGGAAUUCCUGGUGUAGCGGUGGAAUGCGCAGAUAUCAGGAGGAACACCGGUGGCGAAGGCGGGUCUCUGGGCAGUAACUGACGCUGAGGAGCGAAAGCGUGGGGAGCGAACAGG